rnacentral:rRNA from 1 species
AGAGUUUGAUCCUGGCUCAGGAUGAACGCUGACAGAAUGCUUAACACAUGCAAGUCAACUUGAACUUCGGUUUGGGUGGCGGACGGGUGAGUAACGCGUAAAGAACUUGCCUCACAGAUAGGGACAACAUUUGGAAACGAAUGCUAAUACCUGAUAUUAUGAUUUUAGGGCAUCCUAGAAUUAUGAAAGCUAUAUGCACUGUGAGAGAGCUUUGCGUCCCAUUAGCUAGUUGGAGAGGUAACGGCUCACCAAGGCGAUGAUGGGUAGCCGGCCUGAGAGGGUGAUCGGCCACAAGGGGACUGAGACACGGCCCUUACUCCUACGGGAGGCAGCAGUGGGGAAUAUUGGACAAUGGACCAAGAGUCUGAUCCAGCAAUUCUGUGUGCACGAUGAAGUUUUUCGGAAUGUAAAGUGCUUUCAGUUGGGAAGAAAAAAAUGACGGUACCAACAGAAGAAGUGACGGCUAAAUACGUGCCAGCAGCCGCGGUAAUACGUAUGUCACAAGCGUUAUCCGGAUUUAUUGGGCGUAAAGCGCGUCUAGGUGGUUAUGUAAGUCUGAUGUGAAAAUGCAGGGCUCAACUCUGUAUUGCGUUGGAAACUGUGUAACUAGAGUACUGGAGAGGUAAGCGGAACUACAAGUGUAGAGGUGAAAUUCGUAGAUAUUUGUAGGAAUGCCGAUGGGGAAGCCAGCUUACUGGACAGAUACUGACGCUGAAGCGCGAAAGCGUGGGUAGCAAACAGGAUUAGAUACCCUGGUAGUCCACGCCGUAAACGAUGAGUGCUAAGUGUUGGUCUCAUAAGAGAUCAGUGCUGCAGCUAACGCAUUAAGCACUCCGCCUGGGGAGUACGACCGCAAGGUUGAAACUCAAAGGAAUUGACGGGGACCCGCACAAGCGGUGGAGCAUGUGGUUUAA